rnacentral:rRNA from 1 species
GACGAACGCUGGCGGCGUGCUUAACACAUGCAAGUCGAACGGAAAGGCCCUGCUUGCCGGGUACUCGAGUGGCGAACGGGUGAGUAACACGUGGGUGAUCUGCCCUGCACUUCGGGAUAAGCCUGGGAAACUGGGUCUAAUACCGGAUAGGAGCCAUUUUUAGUGUGAUGGUUGGAAAGUUUUUUCGGUGUAGGAUGAGCUCGCGGCCUAUCAGCUUGUUGGUGGGGUAAUGGCCUACCAAGGCGGCGACGGGUAGCCGGCCUGAGAGGGUGGACGGCCACAUUGGGACUGAGAUACGGCCCAGACUCCUACGGGGGGCAGCAGUGGGGAAUAUUGCACAAUGGGCGCGAGCCUGAUGCAGCGACGCCGCGUGGGGGAUGACGGCCUUCGGGUUGGAAACUCCUUUCGCUAGGGACGAAGCUUUUUGUGACGGUACCUAGAUAAGAAGCACCGGCUAACUACGUG